rnacentral:lncRNA from 1 species
AUGCAAACAUCAUGUGUUCCUCCGUGGAAAGAAGUGGAGAAGGCCAGGAGCAACAGUACAAAGAGCAAACUUGUGGUACAAAGGCCUAACCAGAAGCAAGCAGAGAUGCUCGAGAUUUCCUGGAGAAGGUCACCAAGGUUGGAAAAGAUCUCAAAGAGGAGAACCCAGUGGCACCGAAUCCAGGAGUCUGAUGGAAGUUUCACCCUGGGAUUACUGAUGCACAAACACAGUUACCAACAGCUAAAGGAUAACUGCUCUGACUGUCAAGCUGACCUAAUGACAGAUCUGAAGAAGUGUCAACACUGCAACUGA